rnacentral:lncRNA from 1 species
GAAAUACUAAGCAAUAAUUUUAUUUUUUUAUUGAUAAAAUUUCAAUGACAUCAUAUUUAACAUCACUCAUCACAAUCUUAAUCAUUAGGAUUGAUCUCAAAGUGACGUAGUAGGACCCUCAACAGAGCCUCCAACUUAACAAUAUGAUCAUUCAACCUAUUAUGCCCUUUUUCAAGGAUGAUCGUAGACUUUUCUAUGUUAUGUAAACAUAUGCUCUCCUCCUCAUUCAAGUCAUGGAUCUCUUCUUGGAGCAACAUUAUCUUUUUUCUAUUCUUUUCUACUUCUUU